UUCGUCUUCGUCACCGUCGUCGUCACCGUCUUCGUCUUCGUCUUCGUCUUCGUCGUCGGUGUCGUCGUCAAUCUCGUGUUCGGCUUUCCACCUCCUCCUGCAAAGAUUUUCUCCCACACUUGAAAAGUGAUUAAGAACCGCGCGUAACCACCCUUUCGCACGUUCCCUUGGCCUUCUUUUCUUUUAAACGUCACAUAUUAAUGCACCGAUAUAACAUUUGAAGAUUUUCUCGUAGCGGUUAAGACUUAUGGGAAAUGGGGAAAUAAAGAAGGAAAGAGAGAGCAGCGCCCGUCCUUUCGUCUUGACAAACUACACAACUACACUUUCGAACUGCCACCUAGUAGGUGGGGAUUGCGGGAGAGCCGUCGGCCAAUCACAAGUAUUAAGUAAGCGAACUGAUAGCCUGGCGACCUUACCGUUCUCACGCGGUCUUGAAUAAUGUUCGACUAAGAGCAUUAAGUCGAUUUCCUUCUCGAUCCACAUGCACACCUAGCGCCAUCUCGUAGCUCCUUUCGAUUCGACCAAUCAGCGAAUCGCUAGUAACCUCUUAGGGAAUUUAUUUAGGAAUUAUAGUAUCUUUAAAUUUCCAGUCUAUCUAAAGUUAACCUUUAAUCGAUGUAUAUUCGUUUAACUUGUGUAUCUCUUUCCUCGGAUAAAAUUUCUCAUUUGUUUUAUCGAGUAUUUUGUUAAACCGACAAUGACUUUUUUGGCCAGAGUGGCAGGACUAACUUGGAUAAUUUAUAUGGCACACAUUGUGUCGAAAGGUUAUCAGAGUAAUUAUGUACCUUCUGAUCAAUCAAGAUGGCCAACAGAUGAAAGGGCAAGAAGAACUGAUUCCCUAUAGUAAGCUAAAAGAAUGAGUAAAAGAGAUGUCAUUUAUGAUCAAUAUUUGAUCGUACAAUUCGUAUACUUACCUCUCUAGAACAGUUAUACGGAUUAUAUAGAAGUGUAAUGAUUUAAUAAAGAAGAUUCAAGUAGUUUA
rnacentral:lncRNA from 1 species